UGUAUCUUUACCUUAUCUUAACCCUAAACUGAUCGACACAACAUAGACGCCGUCAAACCCACCUAUCUUCUAUCUCUCUCCUUACUCACUUCAGUUUCCAGUGGACCAUUGGUACCACCACCCUCCUCACCCUCUACGGCAGCCUCCGCUGCAACCUAUAGAAGGUCACCGAACAUCCCUUCCUCCAUUAAUUGUCAUGUGCUCACUCAAAUGCUCAUCCUUCUACACUGUAUGAUCGAUGGCUACAUAUGUUAAGAAAGGUCAUGGUUGUGGCGACUUCGGGUUUGUAGAGAGGAUGACGAAGAUAGAUAGCGACUAUGGUGGUGUUCGAUGACAGUGAGACUGAUGACGGUGGCGGGGGAUAAGAGGCCGGAUUCUACAUAAGUGCAAAUGACCUAGGGUUUUGCAUAGGGUUUGAAAUAUUUGUUCCGUGAUAUGGGAUGUGUCAUAACGCCAUCUCUACAUAGUCUCUACCCCGACACCAUUAUUUUGUCGAUGAACCACACCGCAAUCUCUCUCUCUCUCUCUCUCUCUCUCUCUCUCUCUCUCUCUCUCUCUCUCACACACACACACACACACAUAUGCGCAUCUUUAAUUUAUGUUAUUCUUAAGUGCGAUUUCUUUUUGUUUUUCUGUUAGUUCCAUUUUUUUAUCCUUUUACCUAAACCUUAAAGAGUUAUUUUAGUCUACACAAGGUGCCAAUACACGGUUAAAAGUCAAUAUAGAGCUUUGAUGGCAUAUUUGGGUUGAGAUGGUGCUGAUAUCUCUUUCUCUCUCAGGUGCUUCUUUAAUUUACGUUAUUCUUAAGAGUAUUUUUUUUUUCCUGUUUUUCUAUUGUUCCAUUUUUUAUCCUUUUACCUAAAUCUUAAAGAGUUAUUUUAGUUUGCACAAGGUGCCAAUACAGGGUUCAAAAUCAAUACAGAGCUUUGAUGGUAUAUUUGGGUUGAGAUGGUGUUGAUAUCUCUUUCUCUCUCAGCUUGAAGAGUUAUUUCAAUUUGCAUAAGGUGCCAAUAUAGGGUUAAAAGUCAAUACAGAGCUUUGGUGGCAUAUAUGGGUUGAGAUGGUGCUGACUGUGCUCAAAUUGUAAUACAGUCAAGGGUCAUAGUAAUUUCUCAGGCACUACUUCUAUUAGCCAAACAACCACUCCCGAUAAGUGUCAUACGAAUUUACCAUACUACCCUCUCAACAUUUUUGUAUUCUCAUUCAUGAUGUGCAACAUGAGGAACAGUACACCGUUUGGGACUCCUCCGCCCAUAAUUACUAGAAUAUAAUUGUGUAAUUGAGUUUAUAUAAAGAGGUCAUUUGAGAAGCCUUUGGUUAUUAAAACCUGCAUAUCCCCGGGCAUCUCCAAAAAUUCAUGAGAUUGACUAUUGCCAUGACAACAUCAUAUAUUACCAACAUACCGCUUCUGAUAAAAGAAUUGGCUCUAUCCAUACACAUCAAGGAUCUAAAGGAUUCAACCAAGAUGCUGCCAUUCUUUACCAGAUAUAAUUCUUGAUGAAUGACUAUGGAAUGGAAGAUGGAGCAUUUGGUGGGGUGUUUGAUGUACAUGGAAGGAAUGUUCAAAUAGUCGGCGCCUCUUGCUGGAAACAUCUUCAUGGAAGUGACGGUGACUCUCUGUCUUCACUGAUGACCUUCACACAAUCUAUGUUGGAUCUAAACUGAGUGCAGAUCAAACCAACCAUUUCCUUGAGCCACCUUUCUGUUAACAACCACGAUUUAUCUAAUUUCCUUGAUGCUUACCAUCUCUAACGAAACCCUUGGUCUCCGAUCUGUUUUUGGAAAUGAAUAGGAUGAAGGGUGGACAAAUUACCCUCCUAAAGAUUGAUGGAUGAAUGGAACCAUUUGUCUUCACCAGACCCAAUAACAAUGUAGAUAUCACCGUUCUUGCUGGUUUGUUUCAAAGAUCUGGUAAUGCUACGAUGGUAGAGGUGAGUGAGAAACUAAAGCUGACAAUGUCUUCUAGCAAGCUAAGUUUUGACUGAAUCCGUACUCCCUCACCGAUGCUGUUGUUCCACUCCUGCAGUCUCAGCCAUCGAUGUCGUUCCUCACCGAAAGUCUGAGCCCUUAUUCAGCAAAAGAAGGAAAUUAUCCCCGAUAUUAAAAUGGUGUAUCGACAAAAAAAAUUCUUUUUAUUAGUUUGAUUUGAAAUCUACACGAUGCUUUACUCCAUUUUAGAUUAAUAUGUCCAAUUUAAUUUUGAUGUAGAACUACAGGGGAAUUUAGGCAUCAGGUUAACUGCUCUUUUUCAUAACAA